rnacentral:rRNA from 1 species
AUGGAGCAGUACGAGAAGGUGGAGAAGAUCGGGGAGGGCACGUACGGGGUGGUGUACAAGGCCCGGGACCGGGCCACCAACGAGACCAUCGCGCUCAAGAAGAUCCGCCUCGAGCAGGAGGACGAGGGCGUCCCCUCCACCGCCAUCCGCGAGAUCUCGCUCCUCAAGGAGAUGCAGCACGGCAACAUCGUCAAGCUGCACGACGUUGUCCACAGCGAGAAGCGCAUAUGGCUCGUCUUCGAGUACCUGGAUCUGGACCUGAAGAAGUUCAUGGACUCCUGUCCAGAGUUUGCCAAGAGUCCCGCCUUGAUCAAGUCAUAUCUCUAUCAGAUACUCCGCGGCGUUGCUUACUGUCAUUCUCAUAGAGUUCUUCAUCGAGAUUUGAAACCUCAGAAUUUAUUGAUAGACCGGCGUACUAAUGCACUGAAGCUUGCAGACUUUGGUUUAGCAAGGGCAUUUGGAAUUCCUGUCCGUACAUUUACUCAUGAGGUAGUAACAUUAUGGUACAGAGCUCCUGAAAUCCUUCUUGGAGCAAGGCAGUAUUCCACACCAGUUGACGUGUGGUCAGUGGGCUGUAUCUUUGCAGAAAUGGUGAACCAGAAACCACUGUUCCCUGGCGAUUCUGAGAUUGAUGAACUAUUUAAGAUAUUCAGGGUACUCGGCACUCCAAAUGAACAAACUUGGCCAGGCGUGAGCUCCUUGCCAGACUACAAGUCCGCCUUCCCCAGGUGGCAGGCAGAGGACCUUGCAACCGUUGUCCCCAAUCUUGAACCUCUUGGCCUGGACCUUCUCUCGAAAAUGCUUCGGUUCGAGCCAAACAAGAGGAUCACGGCCAGGCAGGCUCUUGAGCAUGAGUACUUCAAGGACAUGGAGAUGGUGCAGUGA